GGGGCGAUGCCUCGUCCUCCUACCCAACUCCUAUUCCGGCACGUCCACGUCGUGCAGAGCGGUAACAUGCGUUACUAGGGGUGCAAGAGUCCGCAGCGGCUCUUUCUGCUGCACUAGUUGCAUCAGAUGGUAACGCAUGGCUAAGCCGGAAAGGGGGAGACAGGCCAAUAAAUUAGUGCUGGAAAUUUGUUGGUUCUGGCUUCUGUAAAUAGUGUAAAGUCCACAGCUCCUGCUGUACGAAGUAGUGAGGCUCAGCAUCCCGGCCUAACCUUCAACGGCAAACGAAAAAACAGCGGAGCUAAUCAAUAAUUACUAUUUUCAAACUGUUCCAAGUGUUCUGGAGCGUACAAUUUUAAUCAUUGGAGAAGUUCAACAAAACACCAGCCCUAAUGGCCAGCAAUUUGUUCGGGAUUUGUGGAACAAAAUCUUCAUCACUGAGGCGAUCGAUGUGUAGGACUAAAGCUGACAGUAAAUUGAAGACAUUCUGCACUGGGUACAUGAUUUGUAACCUUUUCAAGAAUCGGUCUCCCUUCCCUUUGAUACAAGCUUUGCCUUCAACUAAUACUGCAACAUCAAUAUCAGCCCAGAUCAAUCACCAAUCAACAGAUCAGCGUCAUCAACUACUACGAUCAAUGCAUCCAACAAUCAAACAAUCCAACACUCCGGAAAACUAUCAACCAGCAGUCAGGACAGUCAUGAUAAAACGGCAAAUCUUUCCUUGAACGACAUCUGCUGUUGAAGCUGUUGAUUAUGACGAUAAAUAGCGUAUGUAGAGUAUAUCAGAGAAUUGAUUUAUUUUAAACUCAUUAUUAUAAUCAUUUUGUAUGUGACUAAAUACGUUAAAACUUCCUUAAUGCACUAUAUACUACAAUUACUACAAUUGCUUAAAUUUCUUUCAAUUUAUUGACGAUACAUUAUUAUAUGUUUGUUUUUAUACUUUAGAAUAGCAAUACAGUGUACCCUUCAAUUUUCUUCUACAUUUAUGAUGUUAAUAAUUAGCAGUAUCACAUGGUCGUUGCAAUAACAUAAAUGUUUUCGAGCGAUAUUGUUGUUUUUGUAGUGGUUUGAAGGAAUUUCGUGAUGUGUGACCUUGCAUAAGCAUAUGGAUCAUUAGGAUCGGUGCUAAUCGGCCAACUUAUAGGCGGCAUUUUUAUUAGAGAACAUCGGACCUUACCAUUAUGUGAGGGGCCACCGAUUAGUAUAUACAUGAAUUGAAGGAAUGUGUGAUCUUAAGUCUUAUAAUAACCAUCUUUCGAUAAAUACGGUGGUAUCCAAAUUAAAAAAAAAGACAUUCGAUCUAUAUUUUGUUAUUGGAUAAAAUUGUUUUUGCUAGGUAACUAGCAGUAAGAAAAAAACAUACUUCCCUGUCACAUGAUUCGAUGUGUCAAUAUUCCAUUCACCCUCCGCUCUUCUCAGCCAGAGUUGCAUUACUUUCGAUUCCAACAACUGCCGCAGGCGGAUCGAUGCGUGCAAUAGAAAAUCAUCAGGCAAAAUUAAUUUAGCUUUGAUUCUAUAACUUAAUUUUAUUUUUAUGAUUGUAUGUAUAAAACAUUGGGAAAAAAAUCGAGAAACCCCUGAUCCUUUGAGUUAAUAAUACAACUAAAAUUUUACGCAUUAAUUAGCCUAACUUAUGUGAAUAUAAUCUUACUCUAAUCUUUCCACCAUCUUCCGGGGCAAUUUUUAAUUGAAAAAAAAUGUAUGAUUCUAGGCAAAAUUCAAAAAUUCAAAAUUUGGCACUAAUUUGGCAUUUAUUAUCGCUUUUAUUUUGAAACAUUUGAAUUUAAUGAAAAAAAACGACAAGCAGCGCAGUUUCCAGAGACUGGUGAUGCAUACAGAUGUUAUUUGUGAUAUUUAUAUUCGGUUUUUUUCUGGCAUAUGUGAAACGUGUGAAAAAUAUAGCCUCAGUUUUCUUGUCAGUAAUUUUAAGCUUCCAUUGCAGUUUAAUUUUAAUAAUUGCAAUUUAUAGAUUGCAGUACCUUUCCUUUUUCCAUUAUUUUCCUCAUUCUACCACCAAGUGGAGUUGAUGCGAUGGUGUGUCAUUUCUGUCUCCUUACCUCGUUUGUGCUUGACAGUUUAUCCGUUCUACAACCAUCUCUUUCGGAAUCGGAAUUGAUCAAUUAAUCUUAAAUGCCAGAUAGAGUCAAAAGCUUUCUCAGCAUCAAGAAGAACUAAGUCGGUUGAUUUUGUAUUAAAUCUGUUGUAUAUGAUAUUGUUCUUUAAUCUAUGGAGUUGGUGUGCAGCAGCAAGAGUGGGACGAAAACAAAUUGACUAUUCAGGAUUAUGUUGUGAUCUGUGGUUUCUGUAUCGCGAUAACUUUAGCUAUUUUCCAUGAAUUUGGAAAGUAGCCAAUUUUAAAGCAUUUAGAAUGGUAUUGAGGUAUAUAAUGGCUUUUGGAGGUAGCUUUUUGAAUGUGUAGUUAUUUAUGUUGCCAAUGUUUUUUUAGUUUGAAUCUUUUAAGAAUCUGCGAAAUAUCUUUUGGUUUGAAUAGGUUAUAAUGUACUAGGCUCUUAAUUGAUACUAGGGAAGUUUCUAACGGUGGUUUUCACUUGACGUUCGGUUGGACUUGUAUUACUGUACUGCUGUUAUUGUUUGGGCAGAUUCAAAAACAGCUUUUAAUGCCUUACGUUUAUCGUUUCCCGUUAUGAGCGUAUGAUCAUUCAUUUUUAAUUAUAGUAUUGCGUUUUAAUUAUUUUUUUAUGAUUAUCAUGAACUUCCAUAUUUAGUUUUACUAGGUUUGUCCUUAUUCUUUGAAAUUAAAUUUAGAUUUAGUUUGGUUUAUUACAUUAUACCUUCCAGCUGAUUGUAAUGGUAUUGCAAUUUCAUGCGCGGAUAAUAUACUGGUUGUAAGUUUUUCUAUCAUAUUAUCGAUUUGAGGUUGUGAAAUUUCAGCAGGUUUGAUUCUAGAAUUGAUGUCAUGUCUGAAUAAGGGCCAGUUUGCUUUGGUAUAAUUAUCAACGGCUAACUUCAGCUUCUAGCACUUUUUUUACCUCUUCCGGUGGGCAUAUCGAACAGACCGCUUAGUACGCUUGGACCGCUUGUACGAUCCUCCACCAAUUGGUGUGUGUGUGAAAAUUCACUUUAGUCUUAGACAGGUAACUAACCACUGUUCUAAAGUCGUCGGUUGUGUAUGUGUACACGAUUAUACCUUUGUUUUCCACUUUGGUGUGCUAACGUAUUACUCCUGCGUCGAUUUCUUUUUUGUGCACUUCGUCUAAUGACAUGCACACAAUCUUGAUUACUCUGUUGCUCGUAUGUGUAUCCAUUGGAUGCUCUUCUUUAUGGUUUGCAUAUGCGUUAGGCCAAUCUAUAUGGUGCAUAUGCGUUAGGCCAAUCCGUCUUUUCUACACUUGCAUUGAAAUCUUUUGCCCACUUUCUACGUUCAUGUUGUCUGCUGUUCGGUGUAUAUUUGGAGCUGCACCGAUCGGCUGCUGUACGCAUUUACAGGUGGGUUUCCUCACGAUUGGUGAAUUAAUCUGUAUACAAACUGUUUGGAAGUGGUUUUACUUUUUCUUAGCUGGUAAUACCUAUUCGCGCAUAGUGUCGUCUUGAUCUGGGUUACUUUUGUGCAAAUUUUGUUAUUUCCAUAUUGCUGAUCGCUAUUUAUAUUACAAUUAUUUCCUGGUUGCUUAUGGUGCAACUAGCUUUCCCACACUUGUGUUCUGAGACAUUUCCGUCCCACAUAUUCGUUUCAAUAAGAUUGGUUUCAUUCUACUCCUCGAUAUAUAAUCAAGAAUUAGGCUUAUUUCAUUUCAUUACAUCAACCGAAGCUCUGGGCUUACAGGUUUAAAAACAAUCUCAUCAUAUCUGUGAUAUUGAAUCAAUGUAUGUCUUCACCCUUAAACUUCGGAACACUGUCUGAAUUGAGGCUUUGGGCCUAACUCUAUCGGGUCAAUUUGGUGAACGAUGCUACAUCCUGCUGGAUGCUUAGUUAUGACGAAUUUAAGAAAAUAUAUGCUGGUAUACACUGCCUAACUCAUUCCUUUGCACUUCUUCGGUCUAAGUCUUUCGAACGGAUUUCGGAAACUGUUGUUCCCAUUGAAGAUGAUACCGUGGUUGAUCUUACUUUGAUGCAAAACUUCCCUGAUCGUCUGAACUUCGAUCAGUUGGUUCUACUAUACACUGACUACCUCAUUCCCUAGCUGUUAUUAGGCCUAUAUCGAAAUAGGAUGUGUUAGCAUCCUCCUAUGAAACAAUCAUUUAAAUUUCUUUCGAUACACUACUUGGUGGAUUAUUCAGUAUUGUUUGGAAAAUUUAUUCAACGUUCGUUUGAAGAGCUUUAUUUUCUUUGAGACUAAGAACAGUCACUAGGUCCAUUGUCAUUGUCCGUAGUGCUUUCAAUCGCUUUCGACCAAAUGAACUUAAAUGAUUUAAAUCCUUUUGAAGUAUUCAUUCGCUAUGUUCAUAAAACAUUUACGUCAUCUAAAUUAUUUCGUUUGGAUUAGUUGUAAAACUCUAUUACUAAACUCUAUUUACUCUAAACUCUAUAAACAUUUAUUGAUGUUUAUAUAUUUACAUUUUUUUUUUCAAAAAUCUGAUUAUGGGAAUAAUUACG